rnacentral:lncRNA from 1 species
GAGCUUGCUCUAUGUACCAUUUAUAUCACUGUAAGAUGUGCCUUAUAUAAAACUGAAUUGCUAUGGUAUGUUAUGGGGGAUGCUGGAAGUUAAGGGUAACUUUAUAUUGUGAAAAGGCUGCUCUUCGGAUACGUCAUUUUGUAUGUACAGACAUCAUGGCGUAUACAUCUAACAACAUACAUCAAGAGGAAGCGUACUUCGUUACAAAAAAAUCUACAAAAU